GACGAACGCUGGCGGCGUGCUUAACACAUGCAAGUCGAGCGGUAAGGCCCUUUCGGGGGUACACGAGCGGCGAACGGGUGAGUAACACGUGGGUGACCUGCCUUUAGCUCUGGGAUAAGCCUGGGAAACCGGGUCUAAUACCGGAUAUGACUCCGCGGCGCAUGUUGUGGGGUGGAAAGCCUUGUGCGGCUGGAGAUGGGCCCGCGGCCUAUCAGCUUGUUGGUGGGGUGAUGGCCUACCAAGGCGACGACGGGUAGCCGGCCUGAGAGGGCGACCGGCCACACUGGGACUGAGACACGGCCCAGACUCCUACGGGAGGCAGCAGUGGGGAAUCUUGCGCAAUGGGCGAAAGCCUGACGCAGCGACGCCGCGUGAGGAUGACG
rnacentral:rRNA from 1 species